GUCCCGCUUCUUCAUGCGAGGCAGAGAGGCGGCGGGGCUCUCCUCGCCCGUCCCGGCCCCGGCGCCCAGACCCCGGCGCCCCCAGCGCACCCACAGCCGGCAGAGGGAGAGAGAAAGAGAAAACACAUAUAUCUAUAAUUUCAGUCUCCAAGUGACUACAAUGGAGCCCAGAGCAAGGAACACGAUCGAGGUCUCCUAGCUCUGCACUUCCUGCUUGACAACAUGUUGCUAUGUUGCCCCUGAAGUAGGAAUGGAAACCCUUCAGCGCUUGUCAUUUCUGUAUUUUUGGCACAGGUAUUAAGAAAAGUGUGGUUGA